ACCUCUGGAAUCUGUCAGCACUGAUCACAAGGGGGUCUACCUGGGGGACAGGGGGUCUACCUACCAUCCUUUUCUCCUGACACCAUACUCAGACCCCCAGGAACCACAGCAGGCCUACAGUCAUGUCCAUACCAGGACAAGGGCCAGGAUCCAAAUGACCUUUGACCUCCUGAAGGAACGCUUUCACUGUCUUCACCACUUAAGGGUCAGCCCUUUGAGGUCAUGUGACAUCACUGUGGCCUGUACUGUCCUCCACAAUGUGGCC